UCGAAGAGAGCCAUAACACAGGUGCUGCAUGGCUGUCGUCAGCUCGUGUCGUGAGAUGUUGGGUUAAGUCCCGCAACGAGCGCAACCCUUGUCAUUAGUUGCUACAUUCAGUUGGGCACUCUAAUGAGACUGCCGGUGACAAACCGGAGGAAGGUGGGGAUGACGUCAAGUCCUCAUGGCCCUUAUAGGUGGGGCUACACACGUCAUACAAUGGCCGGUACAAAGGGUCGCAAACCCGCGAGGGGGAGCCAAUCCAUCAAAGCCGGUCGUAGUCCGGAUCGCAGUCUGCAACUCGACUGCGUGAAGUCGGAAUCGCUAGUAAUCGUGGAUCAGCAUGUCACGGUGAAUACGUUCCCGGGUCUU
rnacentral:rRNA from 1 species